GGGGUUGUGGCUCAGUGGUAGAGCACUCAUCUGGAAUGUGUGAGGCACUAGGUUUGAUCCUCAGCACCA
rnacentral:tRNA from 1 species